UUGACCUCAAAUCGGGUGAGACUACCCGCUGAACUUUAAGCAUAUCAAUAAGCGGAGGAAAAGAAACUAACAAGGAUUCCCCUAGUAACUGCGAGUGA
rnacentral:rRNA from 1 species